ACCGAAAUAGCUCAGUCUGGAGAGCGUUAUACUAUAGAUCGAAAAGUACUUGGUUCGAUCCCGGGUUCCGGCA
rnacentral:tRNA from 1 species